AACGAACGCUGGCGGCAUGCCUAAUACAUGCAAGUCGAACGAGAUCUUCGGAUCUAGUGGCGCACGGGUGCGUAACGCGUGGGAAUCUGCCCUUGGGUUCGGAAUAACUUCUGGAAACGGAAGCUAAUACCGGAUGAUGACGUAAGUCCAAAGAUUUAUCGCCCAAGGAUGAGCCCGCGUAGGAUUAGCUAGUUGGUGGGGUAAAGGCCCACCAAGGCGACGAUCCUUAGCUGGUCUGAGAGGAUGAUCAGCCACACUGGGACUGAGACACGGCCCAGACUCCUACGGGGGGCAGCAGUAGGGAAUAAUGGACAAUGGGGGAAACCCUGAUCCAGCAAUGCCGCGUGAGUGAUGAAGGCCUUAGGGUUGUAAAGCUCUUUUACCCGGGAUGAUAAUGACAGUACCGGGAGAAUAAGCUCCGGCUAACUCCGUG
rnacentral:rRNA from 1 species